CCAAAGGCUCUUUUCAGAGCCACCCCAGGAGACCUAAAAGAGUUGU
rfam:Tupaia chinensis contig180921, whole genome shotgun sequence.